UUUUAACUUAGGUGACAAUUUUCUAUAAGCC
rnacentral:piRNA from 1 species